rnacentral:sRNA from 1 species
CAACUUGUUGAUGAUUCUCUAUUGUGAAGAAGCAUUACAGGGUCAAGACAAGUUACAAC